CCACGUAGCCAUUCUCAAAAAAAAACUCCACGUAGCCCGCAAAACAAAUCUAAAAAACAACAGCUCCACAUAGCCCUCAAAACAAAUCUAUCUACUCCACGUCUCAUACACUUCCCGUAAAAUACAAUGAAGCAAUCGUACGCCAUAGAAUCUCCUGUAUCUCUUCUCCCCAUGAGAAACAAAUCAAUGCCUCUCAAACUGGAACAAACAAGUAGAGGAAUUAUUGGUUGAGGAACUGAUCUGGUGCGCUCUCACUUGAAGCUCACAAAUUGGGGCAUGGAUCUGGUGCAUUAAUCAGGAAGUUACUUCAUCAAAAUUAUUUUUCUCUUUGGAUCAGGGGCUGUGAUGUGUAUUCUUCCUUUGGCAGUACUACACCAGGUAGCAUAUUUAACUGCAAUAUAACAAUUUCCGAGAAAGCUCCAGACCUCUAGGACAUCUUCGGUGGAUGCUGAGCCAAGAAGAGGAAGGGUUCGAAAGGAUGGAAUGUUAUGGCUUCCACCAUUCAUCAUUUUCUACCGCCAUGGCAUGCAGCGAGGAAAUGGAUCCAUGGAAAUGUUCAUGCUGGUGGAUGACGGUGAUGUUGAAACUCCAGAUGGCGGCAGCUAGUAGGGUUUAGACAAAGGAGCAUACACGCUGAAUCCGUCGCCUCCACACAUCAAUGGAAAUUUGAUCCCUGUAGUUGUCGUUCAUGGUGGCACUCAAGCCGUUGCUCCGUUUAACAUGUUGGCCACCGAUGAAGCCACAACACAACAUUGAAGCACCAUUGGUCCUUAUUGAUGGAUAAGAAGAGCUGACAUUUGGAUCAGGAAAUUCUUCUUGAGGACGGCGCGUCGGAGGAGGUUGCAGUCUUGACGGAGACGGUGUAACACACGCAAAGGGGGACGGCCAGAUGCCCGGUGAUCCUGCCGGUGCUGCCAUGAUAUUUGUGAGGAAGAACUUUGUGAGGGUUCUCAUGCCGGCAUCCACAAGAGCCACCGGCGCAGCCACACUCAUGCCCCGCUCAGACAAACCGCAGUUGACAAGGUGGCAUAAUUGAAUCUGCCGACAAUCCUAGCAGAAAUCUCUUAGUGAAGAGGAUAUGCACAUCUCAAGUAGCCACGUUUUGACUGACUAUAGAGCACAAUGAUUACCAUAUUUAUUACAUUCGAAGGAGUUCUAGAAUUGGUCGUUGUUGAGUAGAGCAAGAAGUCAACUUAUAGAGAUUCAGUAAAAAAAAGAUGACCAAGAUGGAUGGAUCUCGCGAACGGAUAUAAUGGGAAA